rnacentral:lncRNA from 10 species
CCCGGGUUUAUUAUUAGCCGUCGGGGAAGAGGGGCCGGCAGCAGCGACAGAGCAAGACUCUGUCUCAAAUAAAAAAAAAAAAGAUCCCUUUUCUCUAAAACUUAACAGAGGUCUCUGUCCCUAGUACAGUUUUUUCCCACGGGACAAAAAAUGCCUAAGGAAGGGAGAACAUAAUAAAGGGGUUUCUUUCUCUCCCUCUUUCUUUCACAUUAAGACCUACACUUAAAUAUUUUCCAUAGAAAACCAUCUUCCUAAUUGUCUUUUGAAUGAAAUUCUGACUUGGUGCCACAAGGACUAAUCUGUUGACAAAAAACAAACAAAACAAAACAAAGUCAGUGACCCUUGGAGACAGACCUAAGUCUGAGGACCCACUACCCCAAAACGUAUUAGCUCUACAUCACAGCCCAUGUUUUCUUACUUGCAAAACUGGGAUAGACCUAUCAGGGUUUUGAAGGAAGAUCAAUGGAAAGAAAAAUACAGGGAGGCAGGAAGCAUUAUAUAACUUUGAAGCAUUAAAAUAAUUUCACCUUCCUUCUCUGCACACAUAGAAACUUUUCUAGCCUCAGUUUCUUUAUCAAAAAAAUGGAGCUUGUUCCAUGGGCCGUGCCAAGGACUUUGAUUAAGUUUAAAUAUGAUAAUGUAAAUAAAAAUCACUAUGUAAAUUGUAAAGUACAAAGAUUAAUUGUACUUGAUACAGGACCUCAUCAUAGUGAGAGGUGUUUAUGUGAAGAGUCAGAAACCUUAAAAGUGUGGAAAUUGCCUAUGAUGAGCCACAGAUCCUUCCACCCAACCCCCAGUGCUUAAGCAGGAAAAUAAUAUAAAAUAUGUCCAAUGAGAUUGAAAGAGCACUGCAAGAAGAAAACUCGAGAAAAACAGAUAUACAGUUUCUAGUAGCUGAUCUUCUCAUAAAUUAAAGCGUACUUUGUCCCCCUUCCUGGACCCAUUUGGUAUUUUAAGUACGUAUGCACCCGGAUGAAAACUCGGUAUUCAGACUUAACUUACUAAAUGCCAAAAUCUUGCCUCUUUUUCUCUUCUUCCCAGUUCCAACAGUGUGAUAACACACGGAAAACGGAAAUCCAAGGGAUCUAGCAAAAGGAUUCCACCCAGCAAAAACGCCAGCUUGGGAGAGGGCCCCUACCUAACUCCUUCCUUCUGGCCUCCACCCCUCCCCUGAUACGUUUCCUUCCGUCUAGUCUCGAGAUAACCCUUCAUCCCCCAGUUUCUUGACUCUGGCCGCUGUUCUUGAACAUUUCUUAAACACUUUCAGAGAAAGAUGGCUCAUGCACCUGCCUGCAAAACUUCCCAAACCGGGCCUCCCAGCUCCCCCAGACCCCGCAACAACUCACACCCGCCGGGGAAACUCCAGAAGGAAAAGGUCCGCCGGCCAGAGCUCUGGGCCCUUGGAAUCACCCCACCACCGCCCCUCUGGCUUCAGCCAAUCAGAAGCCGUCAGAAAAUAUUAUGCAAAUGAAUCCUGAUGCUCCAGCCAGUCAGAAGCCGCGGAGCCCUCCCCCACGCAGCGUCCUCUUUCACCCCAGCCCCGCCAAGCUGGCUGCCGCGUCCCUGGCAACCGGCGCGCAGCCAGUUCUCCACUACGCUUGGCUGUAAAAAAAUUAAAAUGGUUGCCUGGGGUCACAUGGGAGGGGAGCGGGCUGGCCCAGGCCUAAGGAAGGUUGGAAACCUCACUGAUUGCCCCAGGCACCUUCCCUGUCCCGAUCUGGAACAGGCUGGAGGUGCUGAGCCACCUGCCCGGAAUUCAGUUUGCCUCCAGAAAACAGAAGUCAUCCGUUGAACAAAUAACUUUCGAGUCCUUGUAGCACGCCAACAGCCUCAAAGCAAGAGGUCUUUGGUCUCUGCUUUCUAUCCUAUAUGCUAAAUUUCCGGUAAAAGCCUUGUCUGAGGUACCCAUCCCCACUUCUUGGUUCACAGUUGCAAUUCUGGAAUUCUGGAUCUCUUUUUUUUUGUUUUGUUUUUUUUUGAGACGGAGUCUCGCACUGUCGCCAGGCUGGAGUGCAGUGGAGCAAUCUCGGCUCACUUCAACCUCUGCCUCCCGGGUUCAAGUGAUUCUCCUGCCUCAGCCUCUCCAGUAGCUUGGACUACAGGCGCGCACCACCACGCCCAGCUAAUUUUUAUAUUUUUAGUAGAGACGGGGUUUCACCAUGUUGGCCAGGAUGGUCUCGAUCUCUUGACCUCUUGAUCCGCCCGCCUCGGCCUCCCAAAGUGCUGGGAUUACAGGCGUAAGCCACCAGCGCCCUGCCGGAACUCUUAAAUUCUGGUUCUUAAUUCCCACUCUUUUAAUUAAGCAACCUGGAAAGCAUGCUUUGCUGGCUCAUCUCCCCAAAAAUGUCCACAAAUUAUCCUUGUACUGUGUCCCUUGGAUAGUUUUUUUUUGGGGGGGGGGAAUGACAUUUUAAAAGUGACCAGAAAUUCCUGAACAAAGUAGUCAGCAAGAGUAAACUGGUGCAAGAAAGUCAGACUGGAUAAAGAAGAGAUCUGGCCUAGAACUGGAAGAAAGAUGAUAUUUUAAGGCAAGAAGCCAGCCCAACCCAAGAUAGCAGAGAUCCUGGAUUAUUUUGAGACAGACUUAGAAGGAUCCAUUUCAUGAAAAAUGUCCUAGAAAUAUGACAGUCAGACUCUCGUGUUAAAGGCCAUGUAGUCCAACCAUCCACUUGUGCUGAAAUCGCUCACAACAUCCCCACCAAGUGGUCGCCCUUGCCUACAUUCUUCUAUUUUCCGUUCUCCAGUGUUCUUCUAUCUUUUGGAGCUCUACAGAAGGCCAUGAAGCACACCAUCAGAUGUUUGAAGGUGGCACGUGGGGUGAUGGUGCUAAUAUCGCUAUACAAGCCAUGCAGGGCCCUUUCUUCAUUUUGCCCGUCUUUAAAGGGUGGAAGUUCUGGAGAGAGUCACUACAUAGAUAAUGUGAGGAGGAUCUCUGAUUCCCGCCAUGACAGAGUAACUGGAAAUGAACUUUCCUUCUCACCAUAAACAGCUAUAAAACUGGGAGAAAAUAUCCACGACACAUAUGUCUCACAAGAGACUUGUAUCCAGAAUUCUUAAAGAAUGCUUUCAAUAAUAAAAUGACAAAAAUUCCAAUUUAAAAAUGCAUAAAAUACUUGAAAAGAAUCAUGGUUACCAGGGGCUGGGGUGGUUGACAGGGGGUUGGGGAAAUGUUGGUCAAAGGACAUAAAAUUUGGUUGAAUAGGAGGGAUAAGUUCAAGAGAUCUAUUUUACAAUCUGGUGACUGUAGUUAGCAAUAUAUUGUAUUUUUGAAAAAUGCUAGGAGAAUGGAUGUAAAGUGUUCUCACCAUACAAAUGAAAACGAUGUGAGGUAAUGCAUGUGUUAAUUUGCUAUAUUUAGUCAUUCCACAAUGCAUAUAUACUUCAAAACAAUAUGUUGUACAAAGUAAAGGCAUAAAAUUUUAUCUGUCAAUUUAAAGUAAAUAAAUGAAUGAACAAAUGAAUAAAAAGACACUUCAUGAAAGAAAAUAUAUGACCGACAAGCACAUGAAAAGGGGUUCAACUUCAUCAGUUAUCAGAGAAAUACAAAUUAAAACCACAAUAUGAUACCACGUCACACCCACUAAAAUAGCCAAAAUUUAAGUCUAAUAACACUAAAGUUCGGUGAGGAUGGGGAGUAACUGAAAUUCAGCAUUGAUGUGGAAGUGUGAA